AUUGAACGCUGGCGGCAUGCCUUACACAUGCAAGUCGAACGGUAACGCGGGGCAACCUGGCGACGAGUGGCGAACGGGUGAGUAAUGCAUCGGAACGUGCCCGGUAGUGGGGGAUAACUGCUCGAAAGAGCAGCUAAUACCGCAUACGACCUGAGGGUGAAAGGGGGGGAUCGCAAGACCUCUCGCUAUCGGAGCGGCCGAUGUCGGAUUAGCUAGUUGGUGGGGUAAAGGCCUACCAAGGCGACGAUCCGUAGCUGGUCUGAGAGGACGACCAGCCACACUGGGACUGAGACACGGCCCAGAAUCCUACGGGAGGCAGCAGUGGGGAAUUUUGGACAAUGGACGCAAGUCUGAUCCAGCCAUGCCGCGUGCGGGAAGAAGGCCUUCGGGUUGUAAACCGCUUUUGUCAGGGAAGAAAUCUUCUGAGUUAAUACCUCGGGAGGAUGACGGUACCUGAAGAAUAAGCACCGGCUAACUACGUGCCAGCAGCCGCAGUAAUAC
rnacentral:rRNA from 1 species